rnacentral:rRNA from 1 species
GAGUUGAUCAUGGCUCAGACGAACGCUGGCGGCAUGGAUUAGGCAUGCAAGUCGAACGGGAGCAGCAAUGCUCCAGUGGCGCAAGGGUGAGGAACACGUGAACAACCUGCCUUCGAGUUGGGGAUAGCUUACUGGAAACGGGAGAUAAUACCGAAUAACAUCACCGGAUCGCAUGAUCUGAUGAUCAAAGCAGCAAUGCGCUUGAAGAGGGGUUCGCGUCCCAUUAGCUAGUUGGUGAGGUAACGGCCCACCAAGGCGAUGACGGGUAGCUGGUCUGAGAGGACGAUCAGCCACAUUGGGACUGAGAUACUGCCCAGACUCCUACGGGAGGCUGCAGUCGAGAAUUUUGGGCAAUGGACGAAAGUCUGACCCAAGCAAUGCCGCGUGCGGGAUGAAGGUCUUCGGAUUGUAAACCGCUGUCAAGAGGGACGAAACAUGACGGUACCUCUGGAGGAAGCCACGGCUAACUACGUGCCAGCCGCAGC